rnacentral:lncRNA from 1 species
CACGUAUUUUUUGCCCAACACGAGAACAACCCUGCAUAGUGGCCUCCGUGCCCGUGCUAGCUCAUGCCGGGCGUAGGCCGCCACCCCAGCACGCCGAGCGACACAAGCUAACACGAUUUUAAGAGGCAGCCCGUUAAGGCCCCAUUAUGCUCUACCCCAUGUAAAUGAAGCAAAAAACCCUAGCAGUCAGACUCCUCCUUCCCCCACUGCCACCUACCUUUCUCAGACUCUCACCCUCUCCG